rnacentral:lncRNA from 10 species
AGUUCUGUCUGUCCUUUGUCCCACACCUGUGAAGAUAAGCUAUCAAUUUACAUUACCAGGGUGAAAUUCAACAGAAAUGCUUUUGGAUAAAGAUGUUCAGGCCCACAGGGAAUUUCCUUGUUGACAAAUUGUGAAGGAGGGAGCAGUAACCUUGGAGCUCUGUGUAGGCGGCCAGGCUUCCGCUACAGGAGGGCGUGGCUGUGACGAUUAUCUCAUUGGGGAUUCUGGGGUUAUAAUACAGGAAUUGUGGGUAAGUACAGUCACUUCUGCUCCAUGAAAGUGAGGUCAUCAUUCGUUUCAGGAAGUUGAGUGAGGCCUGAGACAGCAAUGUUUCGUUUAGCCUGGCGGUGGCCCUCCUUGUCUUCAAGAAGAGCAUCCGUGGCUAGCAGUGGAAGAUGGGGUUGGGCCCCAGGUGAGUGACCCUUUGUCGAGUUUGCAGAAUUUGGUCUUGGCGGGUUGAGGAUCUCUUGUAUUUUGUGCGCUCUGUUCCUGCUCCAGGACUGACCAGGCAGUUCUGCCACCUUCUAGGAGUGUGAAAUUGGGAAGUAAUUCAAAAUGUAUGUGCCUAGCAUUCCUUUUAUGUAACAUGAGGGGAAUAGAAGUACCAAACCGAUGCAGUUCAGUGGAGAAUUAAAUGAGAUAGUCACAAGUAAAAGGUGGUAAGUGUGGUUCAUUUUAUUAAUUUUCUUUUAAUUUCCCGAGAAGCCCCAGUUACCUGAAAGCUUCUGUGAGCCUGGGAAGGGAUCAGAGUUCCACCUGCAGAUUCCUGGAUUCCCUUUUUAAAAAAGUGAGGGUGGCGGUGUGGGGAUGGGGGUGGGGGGUGGGGCGGGAAUCACUCCAGGCUACUGUAUGGGGAUGCCCUCUGUGAUUCGUGCAGGAGGGAGACACAGUUCUGGUUUCUCGCAGAUGGUCACAGGAAUGAGGAAAGAAUGACUCUGGCUCCUAGCAGCAGAAUCUUAACUGAGUAUGACUUAGCAUCCUUCUUCUUGCUGUGUCAUCUCUCUUCUCAGGGCAGAAGAUAUUUACUAAUUAGCACAUUCUGCUAGCACAUCUGUGGGAAAAGGUAGGAAGGAAGGAGGGAGGGUGGGAAGGAGGAAAGAAGAUCCACUCCUUAUACUGGAAAAAAAGGAGCAAUAUACUUUUCCUCAAAAUGAGAAGUCAAGCCCAAAAGAAUUCUGUACAGACCACCUUAAAAUAACAUCUUUCAAGCCUGUCUGCAUGAUUUAGUUGCUUCUUUUUUAAAAAAAAUUUAAUUUAUUUUUAUUUUGUAGAGACGCGAUCUUACUGCAUUGACCAGGAUGGUCUCAAACUCCUGGCUACAGGCUAUCCUCCUGCCUCUGUCUCCCAAAGCGCUGGGAUUACAAGCGUGAGCCACCAGGCCUGGCCCAAUUGCUUCUUAACAACUUACUAUUCUUUGUUCACUACAGUGUAUACAUAACUGACUUUUUAUUUGGAUCUUCAUUUUGUAAUGAAGGCUCUGGUCACAUGUAAGACUUGUAUUAAAUAAAUUUGCCUGCUGUUCUGUUAAUCUGUGUUAUGCUAAUUUAAUUCUUGAGCCCAGC